rnacentral:antisense_RNA from 1 species
CUGCUGGGAAGCAGUGAAUCCAAGCAGAAUCUGAGUAUCAUCACUUUUUAGUUAAACUAACCAGUCCAAUAUCCUGAUUUUUCUUUAACAGGCAAAGAAUUUUUGAGUCUUUCCCAUAGACUUGAGUUCUUGUGAACUAUUUUACAGCAACAAUGGCAUCCAAUCCUAUAGAUAACAAUAACAAAGCUGCAGACCAUUUUGUUGCCAGGUUUCUCCUCCAGGGUGGCUUUCCAGCUAGUUUGUAAACAAAUAACUCAGGUGGCCCUGUCAUGUUACAUUAACUAAAAAACAAGUCUAAAGCACACAUAUAAUAACAUAUGUGUGUGCAAACUGGCUUGCUUUCAAAUUCCUAAAUCGUACAAUUAAAUUUUAAAAAUAACUGUAUUUGGAAACAAGAAAAAAGUCACUUUGACACCCAACUGAUGUAUAUAAAGGAGACUGUGCAUAUGGGUUUUAAAAUGAGAUGAAAAUUGAAAUUUGAUCUUUGAGAUUAAAAACAAUGUUAUGUAAAUCUA